rnacentral:rRNA from 1 species
GAGGCAGCAGUGGGGAAUAUUGCACAAUGGGCGGAAGCCUGAUGCAGCGACGCCGCGUGAGGGAUGACGGCCUUCGGGUUGUAAACCUCUUUCAGUAGGGAAGAAGCGAGAGUGACGGUACCUGCAGAAGAAGCGCCGGCUAACUACGUGCCAGCAGCCGCGGUAAUACGUAGGGCGCAAGCGUUGUCCGGAAUUAUUGGGCGUAAAGAGCUCGUAGGCGGUUUGUCGCGUCUGCUGUGAAAGCCCGGGGCUCAACCCCGGGUCUGCAGUGGGUACGGGCAGACUAGAGUGCAGUAGGGGAGACUGGAAUUCCUGGUGUAGCGGUGAAAUGCGCAGAUAUCAGGAGGAACACCGAUGGCGAAGGCAGGUCUCUGGGCUGUUACUGACGCUGAGGAGCGAAAGCAUGGGGAGCGAACAGGAUUAGAUACCCUGGUAGUCCAUGCCGUAAACGUUGGGCACUAGGUGUGGGGGACAUUCCACGUUUUCCGCGCCGUAGCUAACGCAUUAAGUGCCCCGCCUGGGGAGUACGGCCGCAAGGCUAAAACUCAAAGGAAUUGACGGGGGCCCGCACAAGCGGCGGAGCAUGCGGAUUAAUUCGAUGCAACGCGAAGAACCUUACCAAGGCUUGACAUUCACCGGACCGCCCCAGAGA